rnacentral:rRNA from 1 species
UAGCCGUACAUCCAGAGUUUGAUCAUGGCUCAGGACGAACGCUGGCGGCGUGCUUAACACAUGCAAGUCGAACGAUGAAGCCCUUCGGGGUGGAUUAGUGGCGAACGGGUGAGUAACACGUGGGCAAUCUGCCCUUCACUCUGGGACAAGCCCUGGAAACGGGGUCUAAUACCGGAUACCACUCCUGUCCGCAUGGGCAGGGGUUGAAAGCUCCGGCGGUGAAGGAUGAGCCCGCGGCCUAUCAGCUUGUUGGUGGGGUAACGGCCCACCAAGGCGACGACGGGUAGCCGGCCUGAGAGGGCGACCGGCCACACUGGGACUGAGACACGGCCCAGACUCCUACGGGAGGCAGCAGUGGGGAAUAUUGCACAAUGGGCGAAAGCCUGAUGCAGCGACGCCGCGUGAGGGAUGACGGCCUUCGGGUUGUAAACCUCUUCAGCAGGAAGAAGCGAAAGUGACGUACUGCAGAGAUGCCCACCC